rnacentral:lncRNA from 1 species
AAUUCCCAGGCUAGGGGUUGAAUUGGAGCUGCAGCUAAGACCUAUACCAUAGCCACAGCAAAGCCAAAUCCAAGCCAUGUCUGCAACCCACACCCAUGGCAACACCGGAUCCUUCACCCACUGAGCGAGGCCAGGAAUUGAACCUGCGUCUUCAUGGAUACUAGUGGGGAUUGUUACUGCUAAGGCCAUGGUGGGAACUCCAUCACCAAUUCUUUCUUAAAAAAACUUAUUCAUGAAAAUGAAAAUAUUUAAAAAUUCUACUUCAAGAGACAUAGUACCAAGAGACUAAUUCAGGUGAUAUUAAGUAUGAAUUAUAUCCCAUAAAAUGGAAUAUGAAACAUGUUGGCUUAGUUUUUCCUUCUUUAUUUCUGCUUCCCAUUCCUGGUGGUAGCCACAGUGUUAUAGGUAAAAUUGCCUAUUGGUCACUUUUAAAACAAUAAUCCCUGAGGGCUGGCCUGUAAGGUGGGUAGUCAUGAAGCACUUGCACUUACUAAAAGGCAGUUUGGCAUAUGUGUCAUGUUUAGUCAGUGGAAGAGUGGGCCUGUUUAGACCCAGUUGUUCAGCAUGUGGAUGGGAAUGGAUUUGAGAUAUAAAUGAUAUCAUAUGGUAUUUGUCUUUCUCUUUCCGACUGACUUCACUUAGUAUGCGGGUCUCCAGUUCCAUCAUGGGAAAAAAUAAGAAUCAUAAAAAAAUUCAAAUUAAAAAAAAGAAAAAAAUGAGAAGAGUCAGUCUUCCGCCCAUACUCUUCUUAGACAUAAUUGGUUAUUUUCUCAUGAAAAACUAACCUCAGUGCGGUAGCUUAAAUAGAAAUCCCCAAAAGAUAUGUCCAAGUCUUAAACCCUGGUACCUGCAAAUGUGACCUUACUUGGAAAUAAAGAUUUUGUCGAGUUAAGAUCUUGAGAUAAGAUCAUCCUAGAUGGAGAGUGGGCUCACUCCAAUUCCAAUAACUGGUGUCCUUAUACGAGAAAGGAGAGGGGGAUUUGAGCCACACAGACGCAGUGACACAGAGGAAAACUAUGUGAGGACAGAGGGGGAGAUCAGAGUGAUGCAAAUUGAAGCCAAGGAUCUAGGAGAAAGGCCUGGAGCACACAAUUCCUGGGAACCUCUCUGUGAAACCAAUCACACUGACACCUUGAUGUCAGACAUCUAGAUUCCUGAAUCAAGAGAGAAAAAACUCCUGUUGUUUUGAGCACCAAAUUUAUGAUAAUUUACCCUGGGUAACGAAUGCACUCACAUACCACUUUAUAUCUCAGUUCCUGUUCAUUCUGAGCUCAUUAGAAACCCAACAAGAGCAGUGGUAGCAAUUGGUCACUACACUAGAGAAAAGCUCUCUCCUUGAUCCUUUGAAAAUAGUUACCAAAGAAAUAUUUUCAUAAUAAGCUAACUGCCCCAGCUCCCCCCUCCCCCUAAUUGGGACGAAAUCCACCUACAGCCACAGGACUCCUACUCUUAUGUGCAUCUUUAGAAGGUCUAAUCUAAUAGUUUGGGUUUAGGCAGGUCUACUGGGUCCCCUGCUCUGGCCAUCUUCCUUUUUACCCAGCUAGCUGUUGGGCCUGCCCCAGGUACCCCUCACCAGAGUGAGUGUUUCCAGCCAUAGAGUCCUAGCCUUUUUUAAAUUAACGAAUCAGAACCCAGUAUGACUUGGCCCCCCCCAGAACUAGUACCUUGAACUAGAAAAGCUUGAAGAGGAGCUGAGUUUACAUACAUACAUAGUCUCUGGCAAACAGAGCCUGCGUGUUCUUUUAUAGAAGAGAGAAAAAGGUUUCCCUGUAGCACCAGUGGGGGCUGUUUCAACUUCCCUAAUGCAGGUUACAAAGGUUUUGCAAUGGAGUGUCCUUCCUUCCGUUCCCCACUUCCACCAAUACAUUUAAAUGCAAUAUGCUUGUUUUUUUUUUUCUUUCUAAAAUAAUAACUUUAGUGAAAAUAAUGCAGACACAAUAAAAAUGCACGUAAUAUAGAAGGGCUAGUUGCAUGCAAUAUGCUUCUAAUGCAAUGGGGAAAUAUGUUUGCCACCAGACUCAGAGUGUUGGGGGGCAUGCUUCAUAAUAGGAUGUAUUUUACCAGGAAGAAGUAAAUCAGAGGCAUAUAUUAAGAAGCACCCAGGGGCACACCCAUAGCAAUGACCUUUAAAGGGCAGUAGUAAGUUACUUGACAGCAUAACCAGCGAGUGAAUGAUCUUGCCAUGAAAGGUCACCUGCAACUAGAACAAUAUUUCCUAUUUCAGCACAUACUUGGUACUUUUUGACACAUUUCUCUUCCUCAGGAUGAUCUGAUUUCUGUAGAAUAGAUCGGAUGCAUUUUCUUCGUUUUGUGAUGAAUGUGCCCGAUUUGGGCUCUCAGUAAUACUGGCUGGCACCUGUAGGCAGUCCUUGCUAUUUUGGUUGUUUUGAAGGCUGGCUAUUAAAAAGAGGCAUUUGCAUUACUCUCUUAUUUUGACAUGCCAUGGAAUUUUAGAAUGUUGCAAAUUAAAAGGGGCUUAUGAAACACUUCAGUCUAAUCCCUUUUUGCAAAAGAGGACACAGCUAGGAAGGAACAAAGCCCCUUGUCCAAGGUGACACAAAAGGAAGGGGGGGGAACCCCAGCUCCCUACUCUUGAGUCUGCUUCACCUUCCAUCCUAACACAACCUUCACAGGUAAGUCAGCAAACAUUUAGCAGAGUGGAUUAGCAGUGCUCUGUGUUUAAGUGCCUGUGAAAUUCCUUAAUAGGUAUCUCUUCUCCCUACUUUGCUGCUUUCCCAAUGGAUCCCCAAGACGCUUGCUUUGUUCUCUUCUCAUCUUGCAGACACCAUGGGCUGUGUCUGGUCAGCCAUCACUUUUGUUUCCUAAUCCAAUUGCAUGACUUGAUAUUCACAGUCCCUACUCAUUGUUCUGGUGUGUUAGACCAUGACUAUAGCUUGCCAGAUCUCCUGUCUCUGGUGAUCACUGAUGCUUCUCAAUCUUCUGUCUUGUGAUGGGAUUUUAUCCAUGCUGUUGGAAGGCAGGAAGUUGUCUGAAGCAAGCGUGGAAAAUAUUGAGUGGUUUGGUGUUUGGUUAAAGAUACUACAUUAAACCAAAAAGCUCAAAAACAUCAAUCUGGCUCUUUUUCUGCUUACUUUUUCCUCACUGGAAAUGUAAAAAAAAUUGUUGGAUUUCAUUCUCCUUUGAAUGUGUCAUUUAAAAUGUUGAUUGUACAUAAUCACAAUGUUUUUGCUAUGGAAAUCGAUUUAUCACAGUUAAAAAAGUGACUAAGCCACUGAAGUUACUCAGAUAAUAUUCAAUCGGCAAACCAUUGUCUUGGCUUCCACCAGCCAUUGCCUGUUUGUGUGCAGUGAACUCUGAAGUGAAAACGCUCAGUUACAAGUGAGCUGGUACAUGUAUCGUAGCUUCCUUUCCUCUAAGAUUCAGCAACACUGCAAUUCCAUUCCCAACCGCAACAGAGACACACACCAGCACAUGAGUGGGCUCCGACACAGCUCUAUUUUCAUCUCAAGAAGAAAGAAAAAGAGGGGAGUGGAGGAAGACAAUAAUUUUAGUAUUUGCCUUGAGUUAAAGUAUAUUAUCUUUGAAAGGGUUGGCCAGGAAAAAGUCAAGUUUGCUUAAAUGACUUUUAAUGACGCCUGCAUGCACACCAUGCUGUGAGGUAUGUGAGUAUUUUUUGAGUCAAGCUGAGUCCCCAGAGCCCUCCAGGCCAUGGCUGGGCCUCCUUGUACAUGACUCAGGGGGUCAGUGGGGACUCCCUGGCUGACCCUGGCUGGCUGCUCUGGGACCCAGUUCCCUGAAAAGGUCCCUGUUCUUUGAAGUAGUUGGGUGCAGGGUUUUGCUCAUGCCCAUUUGGGACUCUCAGGCUAUUCUUGUCUAUUAAACUUCAGUUUGCUCACCUCGUGCUCAUUUGUCCUGUUCCACAAAUUUUGCUAUAUAUAACAAUAAAAUGAGGAAGAAGAAAAGUGCUUUUAAAAUUCCAGAAGAAAGAGGCUAAUUUAAUGCUAUUAUACAAGAAAAUAUUACAUGCUGGUAUUUCUCUACCUUCAUAUGUCAAAUAGAAAUAAAAGAGAGACAUGGAAGAUUUCUUUGGAAAACAUUUAGAACUCAGGGCAAGGUGUAGCUUGAAGGUUUCUUUUCUUUCGAAAAUGCUAAAAAAAACUAUGAUGCUUAUUGGACUGCUUAUUUCUAUUUGAUGUAUCACUACAUCACUGCAGAUUUUUGAUAUGCAAAUUCCUAUGAAACCAAAGAUGGAAAUAUUCUUCUCAUUGAUCGCCAUGGGCUUUUAUGUAAUAAGGAUAAAUACAUAGUAAAAAUGCAAUUCAAAGAAGAAUGUCCUUAUCAGAAAGAACAGACAAGCAGCUUGUUUCCCUGCUCUGCAAACAAACAUUUUUUAUGACAUUCUUCAAGUUAAAUAUGAAUUUAUUGAUUUUUGCCAUUUCUUCUGCAGAAACACAGGGCAUCAAAGAGAGGACUACAUCUGUCAAUAUGAUUCAAGUCAAUAUGAUUCAAACAGCCUCAAUGCUUUUCCCAGAAUGUUCCUUUCAAAAUCCAACUCUGCUAUUUAGAAUGUAACUAGAGAAUUACUCGCAGGGGCAGGAUUGACAAGCAAAACCUGUACUUAGAUCUGUAUCCUCCUGGACGGAUCUUUUGUAAAAAUGGGGCAAAGAUGUAGUAAGUAAUUUUGAAAAAUGAAGGCAACAUGAGUAUGGACACAAGGUAAGUAUGCUGAAAGGUAUGCAUGAGGCAAGGGUGCUGAGUGAGGGGUUAUUAUUUUAGCUGAGAAAUAAGAGAAUAAUCAGAUCCUCUUUUCUCCAUCUCAAUCCAGGGCCCAUCGGCAUCAUCACCACUGCACAUUCACUUUAAAAGAACAGAAAGCGUAUGAUCACACUAGCUCACAAAGAAA